UUCUUGUCGUUCUGAAAAAGCAGCCAAUGUUUUCCGUAUAGAUCGUAUAAGUAUUGAAAUGAAUUGACCAAUCACUAAAAAUGAUUUAAAAAAGGAAAGAUAUCGAAAUAGAGUGCGUAUGCGCAGAUCAGUUAUUUUAGUUUCGCGCGUUCGGUCGAAAAUAUGACGCUAUUGUAUUCGAUAUUAUAAUUCAAUCGCGUAAUUCAAUUGCGUAAUUCAAUUCCGUGAAUAUUUGCAAUUGACGAGUGUUUUCCGCAAAGACAUUAAUGAGUUUAAGCAUUUUUCGUCGAAUUUAAGUUUGUGAGAAGUGAUAUUUUAUAUAUUGUUAAGGCUAUGUAGUUAUCAGAUUUGCCAGAAUGAUUCAGUGGCGAGACAAGAGGAAGAAGGAGAGAUGGUUGGUCAUUGAUCGCGUGAUCAUGUUACCGAAAAUUGAAUGGCGAUGAAGCGUGACAGCAUUCGCGUGGGGAACAACUUUCGUUGGUCGUAAAAUCGCGAGAUGUUCUCAAUUAUUAAUAACCACGAUCCAUUGAGAUUUACCUGCGCCGAUGUAACAGGUUCCCAACAAUUGCUUCUUUGCUCCACCAUCAUGUGCAUUGGCUUGCCGGCCUCGAGGCUUUGAAAUUUUUGUUCUUGAGGCGGAGUUUCGUAGCAAUAGGCUGGCGGAUGAUACUCCACGGAACUGUCCUCGUGCAGCAUCGUUCCCGGAGAGGCGGUGUGAUUUAUCGCGUGCUGUGGCUCGUACCUAUCAAAAUUAUAUCGAUUAUAAUGUGAUCAUUCAAGCCACGUGAUUAACAUGUAACGAGUCACAUUGGCAAGAAAAAUGCUGCUGUACAUCCUUCUCAUAUACGUUACUACUAUAGCUAUUUCGAUUAUUUACCUCGUAUCGUUUGUUCUCCAGCUGUAUUAAUAUCGUGUAAAAUACACGUGCGUUGUAACAGACCAUCGAGAUCGUUUCUACGAUUUAGUCAUUUCGAUAGUCGUUGUGCUAACAACGCUAGCGUUACGAUUUCAAAACUGGCAAUUAUCUUAAUGUCAUUUCACGCUCGAAGCAAGCAAAAGCAAAUCGUUCGCGAUAAUCUCGACACUUGUCUAACCUUCGUAAUUACAUAUAAUCAUAAUUAUACACAUUGAUUAUAUUUUACAAAUUAAGUGCGAUAGUACAACCGUAUUAAACGUUUUGCCAUGCUGUUUGAUUACGAUAAAGUCGUUGUUCGACUAUCGAUGGAAUAUAUCCCGAAACUAGGCAGCUAUACGAGAGCUGAACGAAGAUGACGAGGAGAAUCACUUACUUACCAAACUCGUACAAAUGAAAUUUCCUUCGAUAUCUGUCGAAAUAAAAACCAUUGUAGGAAACUUCAACUUCGACUGAAUUCCAUUCAAACAAUUGUAUACAAGUUUCGUUUUACAACGUACAGAGCUACGAUAAUACGCGAUUUCGCAGAAGCGACAGACAUACGAAACGUUGACUAGGAUACGUAGCGGAGAUGUAUCGUAAAGACGAGUCGGCGAGAAAUAUUCGCAGGACUGGAAAAUAUCAACUUACCUUUGAGGCGUUACAGGUGUCAGAACGCUAAACGAGCUUCUUUCGUACGAAUCCGGCGUUCUGGAAUAUUUUGCAACUACCUCUUUCCCAUAACUGAUCGUCUCUGCUCCUUUCUGCGGUGUGAUCUCACCUUUGUGCGCGUAAUUCUCGCUAUAUGCAACCUUGAUAGAGUCGUAAUUCGGGGAAUUGUACGGCGACGGAUAUAAAGCGUCGUAAGUCCUCGUGGUC